CGAGCAGUCAGUCAGUUUGGGUGUUUGGGUUUGUGUCUGCGUGCAGGCUCUCAGCAGGAAAGAAUGCAGCCAAGACGUUCCGAUGGAGACGAAUGGGUCCCGGGGAGCCUCCGCGGGCUCCGGUGCCCAGGAGAUGACCCUCUCUGGCUGCAGGCGGCCCGGCCCGCUGAGGAAACUGAAUUUUGCUCAACGAUGUAAAAAGAUGGCUGUCUGAUUGACCCCCUCCCCGCCGCGUGGGCUUCGUCCACCAUCUUUGGCGUAACAUACAGAACGCCUCCCUGCGGAUACGACGAGGACAGCUUGUCAGAGACGUCUUUCUUUCCGCCGUCUCCUUCCUCAGAAGGAGCACGAACCCCUGAAACUCAAAAGCGUUUCCCCGUCAGCUCCUCACGCCGCUCUCGCCCUCCUCCCCGAAGGCAAAGAGCGGGGACACCGUGUGACGCGAAUUACCACGGGCCCGUCGGUGGCCAUAAACGCAGCAUCGAGUUCUCCCCAAACAGACGGCGGCCUGCGCGCUGACGCGGGGCCUUUGCGGGCGACGUCUUGGACGCCCCUCAGAUGGAUGUGACGGAGCCACUUAUCUCGGAGUUUAUAGGCCGGUAAUGAAACAGUAACCGGAGUCGUUUGCGCGCUUUAAAGUGGGUGUUGAAGUGGAAAUGUGCAGCGAGGCUUGGUGGAGCAUUAAGGCCUGAAGUGCGGCGAGCUGUAAACUGUGUACUCUGGACUCUCCCCGGGAAUCCUGCCUCUCACAGCCCGCCGCGGGCGGAGGAAAACGUCGGCCCCCGGCGGGCUCGGAGGGGAGAAAGACGCGCCGGGCGCGCGACGUCACGUCUGCCGGACUUGGCUUCGGUCUGCAGAGCUCGUUUGGGUUUCGCUUCCCUCUGCUCCGUGCGAGCUAAAUAUAAACCGCGCUGCGUCCUUCCAACUGAGC
ensembl:lncRNA